GGAGGAGUAGCGAAGUCUGGUUAAACGCGACGGUCUGUAAAACCGUUCCUUUUGGUUCGGUGGUUCGAAUCCACUCUCCUCCAUUU
rnacentral:tRNA from 1 species